rnacentral:tRNA from 1 species
GUGGGUGUAGCUCAGUUGGUUAGAGCGUCUGGUUGUGGCCCAGAAGGUCGGCGGUUCGAACCCGCUCACUCACC